GUCUAGGACCUCUGGGUGGUCGCACUGUUUCCCGGCCAAUGCACCAAAUGAAAGACCCCCGAAGGGAGACCCUCCCUCAGACACUUAAGUCCCGGGACAGCCGCGUACCCAAGAAGACACUGAGACCA
rnacentral:pre_miRNA from 7 species